rnacentral:rRNA from 1 species
AUAUUGGACAAUUAGCGAAAGCCUGAUCCAGCCAUGCCGCGUGUGUGAAGACGGUCUUCUGGUUGUAAAGCACUUUAGGUCGGGAGGAAGGGUUAUAGAUUAAUACUCUGCCAUUUCGACGUUACCGACAGACUAUGCCUCGGCUACCUUCGUCCCAGUAGCCGCCGUAAUACGAAGGGUGCAAGCUUUAAUCGGAAUUAAUGGGCGUAAAGCGCGCGUAGGUGAUUCGUUAAGUUGGAUGUGAAAGCCCCGGACGCAACCUGGGAACUGCAUCCAAAACUGGCGAGCUAGAGUACGGUAGAGGGUGGUGGAAUUUCCUGUGUAGCGGUGAAAUGCGUAGAUAUAGGAAGGAACACCAGUGGCGAAGGCGACCACCUGGACUGAUACUGACACUGAGGUGCGAAAGCGUGGGGAGCAAACAGG